UCGGGGGACGAUAACGGCGUCGAGCGGCGGACGGGUGAGUAAUGCCUAGGAAAUUGCCCUGAUGUGGGGGAUAACCAUUGGAAACGAUGGCUAAUACCGCAUGAUGCCUACGGGCCAAAGAGGGGGACCUUCGGGCCUCUCGCGUCAGGAUAUGCCUAGGUGGGAUUAGCUAGUUGGUGAGGUAAGGGCUCACCAAGGCGACGAUCCCUAGCUGGUCUGAGAGGAUGAUCAGCCACACUGGAACUGAGACACGGUCCAGACUCCUACGGGAGGCAGCAGUGGGGAAUAUUGCACAAUGGGCGCAAGCCUGAUGCAGCCAUGCCGCGUGU
rnacentral:rRNA from 1 species